ACGUAGGAGGCGAGCGUUAUCCGGAUUCACUGGGCGUAAAGCGCAUGUAGGCGGUUGGAUAAGUCUGUUGUUAAAGCCCCUGGCUCAACUGGGGGAGGUCAAUGGAGACUGUCCGACUUGAGGGCAACAGAGGCACAUGGAACUCCCGGUGUAGCGGUGGAAUGCGUAGAGAUCGGGAAGAACACCCGUGGCGAAGGCGGUGUGCUGGGUUGCAACUGACGCUGAGAUGCGAAAGUGUGGGGAGCAAACGGGA
rnacentral:rRNA from 1 species